AUGCCAAGGCUACCAGCAAAGAUUUCACAGAGGGUCAGGAUCAGAGAGGCUAAAAAGGGACUGCCGAUCAAUAGCAGGCGGAAACAACUUGGCAAGAUUGUGAGCAUGUUCCUACAUCGGGAUGAUGUCUCGACUGUCAUAAAUGGCAAGGCUGGAGAGAUUCGUCGCAAGGGACAAAUUUAUAGAAAAAGAGCGCUCACAGACACCUUGGCAAAACUCCAUCGACGAUUCCUUGCUGAACAUCCUGAGCAAACCGUGUCCAAAGCUCAGUUCUUUAGAUUGAGGCCAUUUUGGAUUAUUAGGCCUAAAGUUAAAGACAGAGAGACGUGUGCAUGUAAAAUGCACGAGAACAUUGACUUUAAAAUAAAAAGAAUGGAACAACUGGGAAUCAUUGAAACAUCAAGCCCAGAGGAUCUUGUGCAGUCCAGUGUGUGUGACACUGGCAACAUGUCCUGCAUGUAUGGAAGAUGUGAGAAAUGCAUCGAAAAGACCUUUCCCACAUCCUUAGAUCCUCUCACUCAGGGGAACACUGUCAUCUGGCAAGAGUGGAUCACAAGGUCUGUCACUGUAACAAAGACCCUCAAGGAUGGAUCUACAGAGGGAAAGCAGACAAAGAAAACCUUCCUUGAAAAGCGUACCUCAUCCAUUGAGCGGUUGCUGGCCCUAACAACAGAACACCUUCCAGGUUUUGCCAUUCACAUGUUUAAUGUCAAGCACCAAUAUUUGACAUUGAAAGCAAUGAAAGAUACCCUGACAGAUGAUGCUGUUGCUGUGCAUGUGGAUUACAGCGAAAAUUACAGCUGCAAAUAUGCCAAAGAAAUCAAGGACACCCAUUUUGGAACUGGGAAUGAUCAGGUAACCCUCCACACCGGGGUACUCUAUCUCAGUAGGGGCAGAGUGGAAGCCUUUGCAUCCCUCUCAGACUGCUUACAGCAUGAUGCAGUGGCAACCUGGGCUCAUCUUGACCCAGUGCUGAGAUACAUACGAGGAAAGUAUCCUGAAGCCCACAACCUACAUUUAAUUUCAGAUGGCCCAACUUCCCAGUAUAGAAACAAAACAUCUUUCUAUCUAGCCUCCACUGUGCCCUUUAUGCAUGGAUUUCAAUGGGUGACCUGGAACUAUACUGAGGCAUCACAUGGCAAAGGUGCACCAGAUGGAGUAGGUGGGGCCUUGAAGAAUCUUGCGGACAGAAUUGUGUCUUAUGGGACCAGUAUUCCUGAUGCAGAGUCUCUGUAUGAGCAGCUGAAGAACAAUUCAUCAGUGACUCUGUACAAAGUACCAGAGGAGAAAAUAAAGGCCAGCUGUGAAUUAGUUCCCCCAAACCUGAAAACAGUUCCUGGGACACUGAAAAUACACCAACUGACAUCCACAAAACCGGGAGUCAUAAACACACAGGAGGUGUCAUGCUUUUGUGGAAAAAAUUGCCAGUGCUUUUCUGCAAAUUGCCAUGUGUUGUUUGAGGAAGGAGAUGAGGACCCUGACAAAACCGAGGCCACCAUAGAGGUUGGACAGUGGGUCCUGGUUGAAUACGAUGGUGACUUGUUCCCUGGUACAGUCACACAGAUUGCUGAAGGGCAGUAUGAAGUUGACACCAUGACUUGUGCAGGGGAAAACCGCUUCUAUGUGCCGAGCAUCAGAUUUCCAGGAGAAAGGGUCUGGUACUAUCGUCAGGACAUACGGGACAUAAUCCCAGAACCACUUCCUGUCACCUCCUCUGCUAGGCAUUUCUGCAUUUUACCUGACGUAUGGGCAAGACACAAAAAACGCUCAUGA
ensembl:lncRNA